GGCGGGGUAGCUCAGCUGGUUAGAGCGUACGACUCAUAAUCGUAAGGUCAAGAGUUCGAGUCUCUUCCUCGCUA
rfam:Bifidobacterium subtile strain LMG 11597 Contig01, whole genome shotgun sequence.